rnacentral:rRNA from 1 species
UGUGUAGGCGGUUCUCUAAGUCUGGUGUGAAAUCUCCCGGCUCAACUGGGAGGGUGCGCCGAAAACUGGAGGGCUAGAGUGCGGGAUGGGAAAGUGGAAUUCCUGGUGUAGCGGUGAAAUGCGUAGAUAUCAGGAGGAACACCUGUGGUGUAGACGGCUUUCUGGACCGCAACUGACGCUGAGACACGAAAGCGUGGGUAGCAAACAGGAUUAGAUACCCUGGUAGUCCACGCCCUAAACGAUGCAUAUUUGGUGUGGGUCAUUCAUUUGAUCCGUGCCGGAGCUAACGCGUUAAAUAUGCCGCCUGGGGAGUACGGUCGCAAGGCUGAA